rnacentral:rRNA from 1 species
GAGUAAUACGUGAGUAACCUGCCCUUGACUCUGGGAUAAGCCUGGGAAACUGGGUCUAAUACUGGAUAUGACCUCCUGUCGCAUGGUGGGGGGUGGAAAGGGUUUGUACUGGUUGUGGAUGGGCUCACGGCCUAUCAGCUUGUUGGUGGGGUAAUGGCCUACCAAGGCGACGACGGGUAGCCGGCCUGAGAGGGUGACCGGCCACACUGGGACUGAGACACGGCCCAGACUCCUACGGGAGGCAGCAGUGGGGAAUAUUGCACAAUGGGCGCAAGCCUGAUGCAGCGACGCCGCGUGAGGGAUGACGGCCUUCGGGUUGUAAACCUCUUUCAGCACGGAAGAAGCGAAAGUGACGGUACGUGCAGAAGAAGCGCCGGCUAACUACGUGCCAGCAGCCGCGGUAAUACGUAGGGCGCAAGCGUUGUCCGGAAUUAUUGGGCGUAAAGAGCUCGUAGGCGGUUUGUCGCGUCUGCUGUGAAAGCCCGGGGCUUAACCCCGGGUGUGCAGUGGGUACGGGCAGACUUGAGUGCAGUAGGGGAGACUGGAACUCCUGGUGUAGCGGUGAAAUGCGCAGAUAUCAGGAAGAACACCGAUGGCGAAGGCAGGUCUCUGGGCUGUUACUGACGCUGAGGAGCGAAAGCAUGGGGAGCGAACAGGAUUAGAUACCCUGGUAGUCCAUGCCGUAAACGUUGGGCACUAGGUGUGGGGGACAUUCCACGUUUUCCGCGCCGUAGCUAACGCAUUAAGUGCCCCGCCUGGG